rnacentral:rRNA from 1 species
UGCCAGCCGCCGCGGUAAUACGAAGGGACCUAGCGUAGUUCGGAAUUACUGGGCUUAAAGAGUUCGUAGGUGGUUGAAAAAGUUGGUGGUGAAAUCCCAGAGCUUAACUCUGGAACUGCCAUCAAAACUUUUCAGCUAGAGUAUGAUAGAGGAAAGCAGAAUUUCUAGUGUAGAGGUGAAAUUCGUAGAUAUUAGAAAGAAUACCAGUGGCGAAAGCGACUUUCUGGCUACUUUCUGACGCUGAGGAGCGAAAGCGUGGGGAGCAAACAGGAUUAGAUA